UACGUAUGGUGCAAGCGUUAUCCGGAUUUACCGGGUGUAAAGGGAGCGUAGACGGAUAGGCAAGUCUGGAGUGAAAGCCCGGGGCUCAACCCCGGGACUGCUUUGGAAACUGUUUAUCUAGAGUGCUGGAGAGGUAAGUGGAAUUCCUAGUGUAGCGGUGAAAUGCGUAGAUAUUAGGAGGAACACCAGUGGCGAAGGCGGCUUACUGGACAGUAACUGACGUUGAGGCUCGAAAGCGUGGGGAGCAAACAGG
rnacentral:rRNA from 1 species